CCACUCAGGAACUACAAUGAUGAGACGAUGUAUGAAGAAAUAGUGAUGGCAUUUCACUCCUGCAGUAGACAUUUACAUGAAUUUUAAAAGAAAAUUCUCAUCUUUGUACUGCAGAUGCAGAGGUUCACUCCAGGUUCCUGUGUAUGACAUUCUUGGUAACAUCUGUACACACAGCAUGGUACCCAGCUCUCUGUCCACAUCCCGGCUGGCUGAUCUUCACCCACACACAAUGCUAAAAUCAGUAGCCUUUCAGCUUUUAGAUUCUGGGUCCCUUGACAAAAGUUCCUUUCUGCAAGCACUGGUUGAUGUCACUGUUAUGUGUGAUGCCUACAUAAACAGCCCCCAAAGUGACUGUCAAUGUUCUGUAUGUCUUGAAUCUUGCAGAGAGUUUUCACAGCAUGGUGUUUUACACUUUCUACUGGGAAAAUGGUGUCCAUUCCUAAGAGACUAAGGGGGCAGUUCCACCAGCUGUCUCUCCUUGCACCAUGCACACAGCAAUGGAGUUGGUGAAUAUAGGAGAUCUGAGAAGCACCUUACCCUAAUCACUCAUCUUCUGGCGGGACAGAGAGGAACUGCCCUUGUGAGGAAGUUCUUUAAGCUGCCCAGACAGUGUUCCACCACUGUAAGGGGUAUGGUUAAGAAGCUGGGUGUUCUCAGAAUCAGAACACAUUUUUCUUCUCUAGAUCCCCUCAAUCCAUGCACUUGGGAUCCUGCCUUUGGCCCUACUUCUGUCUCUGUCAGAAGAAGCCUCUUCCAUGAAGAUCUGAAAACAAGGAGUUUUGGGUGUCUGUACUCAAGAGGUGGCCCUGCCCUAGGUCCCUGCAGGUGAUAUUAGGUGCAGUCCUCAUUCUAUCUCCAGUGAUAUUCCUGGUAUUUUCUCCAGUUUCCACAACAUCAGGCUUUGGAAUGUUCAAGGAUUGGCCUCAAAAGCCUAGCCUUCCCCUGCUUGCAAUGGACAUAACGGAGCAGCAACAGCUGCAGCCACUACAGGGGCAGAGAAGAAAGGACAUGAGCAGGCCAGGAGCCAGCUUUGUGGUAAAACUGAUCAGUAUACAUGGAAUAGUUUGCCCAAAAGAGCUAUCAGGUGGUAGAGAAAUCCAUGUCCUUGUUAACAAUAUUUAAGGGUGUUUGUGUAUUUCUGCUUGCAGGAAAUGUGGCAAAUCACUCUAGGACACCCAUAGGAAAGGCCACACAGUCAGAUCAGGGGACUUUAUCUGUUUUCCCAUUGACAAUUCCCUGCACCCCCCACCACACAAUAGUUGUUUCCAGCACCUUCUCUGGAUCUUGUCAAAAGCCAGUCCAUAGGUGAGCUUCACCUUGCACAUGGCUGGGUACCCUCGGACAAAGUAAGGUAGAAUGAUCAUAGUGGCUACCAUGGUCCUAGGAAGCAGUAGAGCAGGUAGUUAAUAUUUCAGGAGGAAGUCGAGACAAGAGAAAAGAGAUUAGGAGAAAUGUUUCCAGAAAUGAGUCACUCAAAAUACAAAAUUACCUUGUUUAGAAUGUGGAUUCUCUCCAAUUUAACAAAAAAAAAAGUUCAUUACCAUCAACUCUGCAUGAAAUACAAAAGGAGGGGUCUCUCUUUCAUCUUCUCUAUCUUCUUUUACUUCCUCUACUCUCUCUUUCAUCUCUUUUUUCUCUGUGACACACACAAACACAUACACAUAUACACAGAAACACAGACAUCCUCUUUUUCUAUGUGUGUAAUUUUAUUUCCAACAAGAUUAAAAAGUAACCAUCAAAUGACUCAAGUGUGAAUGCAACUUACACAGAGACUAGAACUCUAGAUGUGCAAAGCUCUUUUGAGCUCUCAUUGUGAAUGUGCAGUAGUCAGGAUACUGUGGUGGCCUGGUGCAGAUCUGUAGGACUGAGCUAUUUCUGUCCACUUUGUAUUUAAUUCUGGACUGGCAAAUGUACACUUGAGACUCCUCAGUUCUGUUGCUGCCUCUAAAUUGAUCACAUAUAUCUCUUGGAAACAUGCAACAUGUCAGGUUCUGUCUGGGUUCCUUCCUCUGCCUCCAGGACUACUGUCUCCUCAGAUCACAGGUAUGCCUGUAGACAGGCAGCUGGGUUGACAUGCUCAUUGUCCAUGAACCUUCUCGAAAGUCUGCUGUUUCUUCUCUGAUUCUUUGGUAAUCGCCAUCACUGUGAGGAUCUUAUAUCCAGGGGCUUCUGAGUCCUGUGUGUUGGAAUCCACAGGGCCAAGGUUAUUCUAUUACUGCUGCCCAGCAUGGACCUCCCUAUAGGGCAUGAACAGAAUGAACCUUAGGUCAGAACUUCUUCCAAGAAUCUUCCCCAAGUCCUCAGGGAAAAACAGUGUUUUGCCUCUAGCUUCAUCCUAUGAUCUGUACAGAGCAUGCCACAGGCACACAGCUACCCAAAAUCCCUACCUGGUUCUCUUCUCUCCUGCUCCUAUCUGUAUUUUCAGCAACCUGCUCUCCAUGCUCUGGUAUCAUCCUACAGGGACCACUGUGCCUCCAAGAGCACUUGAAACAGCCACAAGGAGGGGGCCUCUUAGUAGAAAUCUGCAGGACUCAAUCUUGGCUGAGCUGGUCCUGUGCUGCCGAGGGCCCUCAGGCUGAUUCCUCUGAAGUGCUCUCUUGCUCCCUUCACCACCCUUCUCAGCACCCUUGCCCAGCCUUGGAACACUAUCCAUUGCUGUUUUCUUGUAGUCCAACUUUGAAGGACUCCGCUUAGGGUAGAUGAUAGGAUGGGAUUUUUUCUCUAAGUCAAUAGCUACAUGGUCACCAAAACUGUGAGCAAGGAUGCUAGCAACUUGAUAAGGGAAAUAAAGGGACAGUAUUCACAGUACACAGUAAGCACAGACUUUUCCACCUAUGUUCUAGUUCCUCAACAGUUACUUGGAGAUUUGUUAUUAAUUUAAAGUGCUUAGGCCAUAAUGUAGGCUUGUUUCCUGACUAACUUGUAACUUAGUUAACCUAUUUAAACUAUACUAUGUCUGCCAUAUGGCAAGUUAUCUCUCCUUGAUUUCAUAUGUCCAACUUCCUUGAAGUUUGUUCAGGGAAAAUCUCCCACGCCUGACUCUCUCCUGCAGUUCCAAUCUCUCUACUGGAACUUUCACCUUCUACUUCCUGCCCUUUGCUGAGAAGCCAACCAUAUUUAAUUGACACGUGAUGCCUUCACACAAUAUAUAAGAGAUUAUCCCUAGAGCAUACUAUAAAGAAACCUACUUGGUUGCCAUUAGUUUGCUCUUACCCAAGCAUGGUGUUCUCAUUUGAACCGGGAGGCACCAACACAAGCUGGACAAAUCUUAGGCAAUUCUGUUCAGGCACUUGCAGCACCAUUGUCUUCGUGGGACUCUGGGCACACCCUGGCACUGCCAUCAGAUAUGCUACAGAGGGUUCCUCUGGAUCGUGGGCUAUUGUCUUCUGAUGCUCAGGACUUGUGCUCUCACCCUGAGCUUCUUCAGUGGAAUCCUAUAGAAAGCCAAAAGUGUUCUUACCAUAAACGCAGGAGAUGCAACAUUUCCAAGCGCAUGUGAGUGAAGGAACCUGUGGAGACCACAGGUCUUGGAUACAUGGAGCUGAAACUAUAACAAUUGUGAGUCACCCUGUGUGGGUGACAGGAAUUGAACUUUCAUCCACUGAUCAGAAGAAAAGGCUCUUAAGCAGUCUUUCCAACUCCACACACUCCAGAUUGCUAUAACUGUGGAUGGGAUGCUAAUUUGUGCCUUGUAGUUUUCUCUGCUAUUGCCUCAAUCUGUGGUGAGUGUGGAACAAGUACUCACAAUUAAAGAAAGAUCCAACUGUAUCAAUUAAA